CGAAUAGUGCUGUACCUUACCUGUACUAUAUUCCUUUUAAUUCUUUCUGAAUCACUGUCUGCUCCUAAGAAUAAGUUAAUGGCAAGAAAUUGGGGCCCCCAGUCCAUGUUGUAUCUCAAAGGCAGACAUGGCAGAAGAUUUGUAUCAGACUAUGAAGAGCAGUAUCAGAAAAUACAUUUGGAUAGCUGGAAUUCAAUUC